rnacentral:rRNA from 1 species
UGCCAGCCGCCGCGGUAAUACGAAGGGUGCUAGCGUUGUUCGGAAUUACUGGGCGUAAAGAGUACGUAGGCGGCUUGGUAAGUCGAUUGUGAAAGCCCCGGGCUCAACCCGGGAACUGCAAUCGAAACUACUUCGCUAGAGUUUGGUGGGGGAUGGUGGAAUUCCUAGUGUAGGGGUGAAAUCCGUAGAUAUUAGGAGGAAUAUCGGUGGCGAAGGCGACCAUCUACGCCAAUACUGACGCUGAGGUACGAAAGCGUGGGGAGCAAACAGGAUUAGAUA